GGAGAGAAGCAAUUUUAAAACUAUUCGGGUUUUCUUAAGUUUCUUUGUCCAGCGGAAAUAGGAGAGAGUUGAUAGCAGAUUUGUUUGGCUUUAGCUGCUACAGUCCACGCAGCUAUUAGGGACACUUUAUUACUCAUGCAGUGGAAAAAAAUAGCAGAGGCCUCCAAGUCCACUAUCACCCUGUGCAAAAAAGAAGCAUCUCCCCCUGGCUACACAAAGUUCUACAGUACUUCACAUCUGGAUUCUAGUUACAUCUCUGCCUCUCUGCUGCUACUCUGUUCAGCGCAAUAACCUAACACUGUUCAGCGCAUGGGGUGAAGACUGACCUAGGCACUAGCUUCACAUAAAACAACAUUCCAGCAGAGAGGAUAAUGGGCUGGGGUGGCAGGAACUGCAUAGGUAGAUACCAUGUGUGCAGUGCUGUCAUAGCCCUGUGCGUCCCAGGAUAUUAGAGAGACCAGGUGGGUGAGAUAAUAUCUUUUAUUGGCUCAACUUCUGUUGGUAAGAGAGAGAAACUUAUGAGCACAACAGAGCUCGUCUUCUGCUCCCAGCACCAGAAGUUGGUCCAAUAAAAGAUACUACCUCAUCCUCCUUGUCUCUCUAGAUAGUACUAGCCAUACACACACUGUACAGCUCAUGGGGGCCCCUAUUCGUCAUCAACUGCACACGCCACAGCUUCAUCAUUGUAGAUUUAUGCUGUCAUUACAAGGAAAUUCAACCACUUUUCUUCAACUAUUGGAAGGAUCUUGCUGCCAAAAAUGUACUAAGCGAUGCAGACAUUGUUCUGGCACAGUACUGUAGAAUGCCUGUUGCGUUUGACCAGAAGAGUGAUGUGAUGGUACAGAGAGACCCCUGGAUGUAGACUCACCAAUAUAUGAUGGAAGAUUCCAGAUGUUCAUAAUUGGGUGUCAGGAACCCAUUGAUGCACUGGCACUUCAUUCUGAAUGAUGUAAAGCUUCAGUCUUUGCAAACAAUACACUUCUGCAUUUAAAGUUUAUCUACAAAUCAUUUGCUGUCAUGGUCUUGAAAUUUCCCUACUUAGGUAGGAAAACGCCCAUUGAAGUCAACAGGAAUUUUCCUUGCAGAGGGAAUCCAGUCUACAGCCAAUUUUGUAUUAGCAUAACCAGACAGAUUUUGCAAAAACAUAUUUUGCCUAAUACCUUUGACAAAUAUUUCAAAUCAUUAAAGUGAUUUUUCUCCCAUGAA